CAGGCCUUGAACAGAGGCAGU
rnacentral:piRNA from 1 species